UGGUGGAGUGAUUUGUCUGGUUAAUUCCGUUAACGAACGAGACCUCAGCCUACUAACUAGUUAAUGCAAUCUUCGCGAUUGUAUCUUAGCUUCUUAGAGGGACUAUCGGUGAUUAGCCGAUGGAAGUUUGAGGCAAUAACA
rnacentral:rRNA from 1 species